UUGACCUCAAAUCAGGUAGGACUACCCGCUGAACUUAAGCAUAUCAAUAAGCGGAGGAAAAGAAACUAACAAGGAUUCCCCUAGUAACUGCGAGUGAAGAGGGAAAAGCUCAAAUUUAAAAUCUGGCAGUCUCUGAUUGUCCGAGUUGUAAUUUAGAGAAGUGUUACCCGCGUUGGACCGUGUACAAGUCUCCUGGAAUGGAGCGUCAUAGAGGGUGAGAAUCCCGUCUUUGACACGGACUACCAAGGCUUUGUGGUGCGCUCUCGAAGAGUCGUGUUGUUUGGGAAUGCAGCACUAAAUGGGUGGUAAAUUCCAUCUAAAGCUAAAUAUUGGCGAGAGACCGAUAGCGAACAAGUACCGUGAGGGAAAGAUGAAAAGAACUUUGGAAAGAGAGUUAAACAGUACGUGAAAUUGCUGAAAGGGAAACGCUUGAAGUCAGUCGCGUUGGCUAGGGAUCAACCUUGCUUUUGUGGGGUGUACUUCCUAGUUAACGGGUCAACAUCAGUUUUGACUGCUGGAAAAAGGCUAGGGAAAUGUGACAACUCCGGUUGUGUUAUAGUCUCUAGUCAUAUGCAGUGGUUGGGACUGAGGAACUCAGCACG
rnacentral:rRNA from 1 species